rnacentral:rRNA from 1 species
GGGAUUAGAUACCCCACUAUGCACAGCCCUAAACUUUGAUAGAAUUCUACACCCACUAUCCGCCAGGGUACUACGAGCUCUAGCUUAAAAUCCAAAGGACUUGGCGGUGCUUUAGACCCACCUAGAGGAGCCUGUUCUAGAACCGACAACCCCCGUUCAACCUCACCCUCCCUUGUUUAUCCCGCCUAUAUACCGCCGUCGUCAGCUUACCCCAUGAAGGAUUCAUAGUAAGCAAAACCAGUACAACUCAAAACGCCAGGUCGAGGUGUAGCGCAUGAGAGGGAAAGAAAUGGGCUACAUUCCCUAACCAAGGGUAUACGGAAAAUACAGUGAAAAAUGUGUUAGAAGGAGGAUUUAGCAGUAAGUAGAAAAUAGAGUGUUCUACUGAAACUGGCCCUGAAGCGCGCACACACCGCCCGU